rfam:Myotis davidii contig8531, whole genome shotgun sequence.
GGCAGUUCUCAGGUGACACACCCUAGAAUCAGGUUCCUUCCCCUCUGGUUCCAGGUGCAUCAUCAGAGAACCAUA